GAUGAACGCUGGCGGCGUGCCUAAUACAUGCAAGUCGAGCGAACGGACGAGAAGCUUGCUUCUCUGAUGUUAGCGGCGGACGGGUGAGUAACACGUGGAUAACCUACCUAUAAGACUGGGAUAACUUCGGGAAACCGGAGCUAAUACCGGAUAAUAUUUUGAACCGCAUGGUUCAAAAGUGAAAGACGGUCUUGCUGUCACUUAUAGAUGGAUCCGCGCUGCAUUAGCUAGUUGGUAAGGUAAUGGCUUACCAAGGCAACGAUGCAUAGCCGACCUGAGAGGGUGAUCGGCCACACUGGAACUGAGACACGGUCCAGACUCCUACGGGAGGCAGCAGUAGGGAAUCUUCCGCAAUGGGCGGAAGCCUGACGGAGCAACGCCGCGUGAGUGAUGAAGGUCUUCGGAUCGUAAAACUCUGUUAUUAGGGAAGAACAUAUGUGUAAGUAACUGUGCACAUCUUGACGGUACCUAAUCAGAAAGCCACGGCUAACUACGUG
rnacentral:rRNA from 1 species